AAAAAAAAAAAAAAAAAAAAAAAGUAAAAAAUAAAAACGAGGGAAACAAAAUGAGGGAAAAUGAAUAAAAGUUUCUUGCUUCACCGCCUU
rnacentral:ribozyme from 14 species